UUGAUGUGCAGUGGAGAGUUUAGUAAUUAAGCUAAAUUAACUUAAUUGGAGCGAGAUUUUCCUCUGUAAUAACAACAGAACAGUGUCAUCUGCUCAUACUGAAGUAAACAUGGUAAGAAAAAGGAGAAUAAAACCUGAAGAGGAUGCAAAUGAACACAUAUUGUCAGGCAAAGACAAGGCCUUCAUUGAGGGACAAGAAAUCAACACAUUUAAAGGGAGAGGUGUGUUUGCACUUGAACACGUUGAACCAACCACCUUUGUUGUUGAAUAUCGUGGGAUUCUCUCUCAAAGUAAACAUGUUAAAGACAUUAAUAGCAACUACUUGUUCGAUUUCACAUGGAAUGGAAA